GGGCGUAAAGGGCUCGUAGGUGGUUUGUCGCGUCGUCUGUGAAAUUCCGGGGCUUAACUCCGGGCGUGCAGGCGAUACGGGCAUAACUUGAGUACUGUAGGGGUAACUGGAAUUCCUGGUGUAGCGGUGAAAUGCGCAGAUAUCAGGAGGAACACCGAUGGCGAAGGCAGGUUACUGGGCAGUUACUGACGCUGAGGAGCGAAAGCAUGGGUAGCGAACAGGAUUAGAUACCCUGGUAGUCCAUGCCGUAAACGGUGGGCGCUAGGUGUGAGGGUCUUUUCACGACUUUCGUGCCGUAGCUAACGCAUUAAGCGCCCCGCCUGGGGAGUACGGCCGCAAGGCUAAAACUCAAAGGAAUUGACGGGGGCCCGCACAAGCGGCGGAGCAUGUGGAUUAAUUCGAUGCAACGCGAAGAACCUUACCUGGGCUUGACAUACACUGGAUCGGGCUAGAGAUAGUCUUUCCCUUUGUGGCUGGUGUACAGGUGGUGCAUGGUUGUCGUCAGCUCGUGUCGUGAGAUGUUGGGUUAAGUCCCGCAACGAGCGCAACCCUUGUCUUAUGUUGCCAGCAUUUGGUUGGGGACUCAUGAGAGACUGCCGGGGUCAACUCGGAGGAAGGUAAU
rnacentral:rRNA from 1 species